rnacentral:tRNA from 1 species
GGGGAUGUGGUGAAAUUGGUAGACACGCAGGCUUCAGGAGCCUGUGGCAGCAAUGCUGUGAGAGUUCGAGUCUCUCCAUCCCCA